rnacentral:rRNA from 1 species
GAUGAACGCUGGCGGCGUGCUUAACACAUGCAAGUCGAACGGAAAGGCCCAAGCUUGCUUGGGUACUCGAGUGGCGAACGGGUGAGUAACACGUGGGUGAUCUGCCCUGCACUUCGGGAUAAGCCUGGGAAACUGGGUCUAAUACCGGAUAGGACCACUUCUUGGAUGUUGUGGUGGAAAGUUUUUUCGGUGUGGGAUGAGCUCGCGGCCUAUCAGCUUGUUGGUGGGGUAAUGGCCUACCAAGGCGUCGACGGGUAGCCGGCCUGAGAGGGUGUACGGCCACAUUGGGACUGAGAUACGGCCCAGACUCCUACGGGAGGCAGCAGUGGGGAAUAUUGCACAAGGGGCGCAAGCCUGAUGCAGCGACGCCGCGUGGGGGAGGACGGCCUUCGGGUUGUAAACUCCUUUCGCUAGGGACGAAGCGUUUUGUGACGGUACCUGGAGAAGAAGCACCGGCUAACUACGUG